UAGGUCCCUGACUCAAAACUAAGUCUAACUUGCAGAAGGAUUUAGAACUUCCAUCUGCUGUAGAAGGCAAUAGGAAGAUAUAAAGUACAUCCAUAAACCACUAUACGGCGGUCUCCUGGUAAAUACUGUAUUCUCUCCACUGGGUAUUACUGCAUAACAGCUGUUCCUGAGUAGGCCUUCAUCGGUCCAGCACCAGUGUGUUUGUGAAGUGGUCCUGCUGCGCAGCAAAACCAGCUGGUCUAAAACUCAGGCGCCUGGUGUUGUCUUCUUGAAGAACACCUCCACCCUAAGAAAGAGCAGAUCUUUUGCAGACAUUUUAUGGCAGCUCAUUUCCAGUCUGCCCUGCUCCAAACCACUUCUGCACUUUGGGAAGGCCCAGAUGUGGGCCACAUCACCA
rnacentral:lncRNA from 1 species